rnacentral:rRNA from 1 species
UACGUAGGGACCAAGCGUUGUUCGGAUUUACUGGGCGUAAAGGGCGCGUAGGCGGCCUAGCAAGUCACUUGUGAAAUCUCCGGGCUUAACUCGGAACUGCCAAGUGAAACUGCUGGGCUAGAGUGCAGAAGGGGCAAUCGGAAUUCUCGGUGUAGCGGUGAAAUGCGUAGAUAUCGAGAGGAACACCUGCGGCGAAGGCGGGUUGCUGGGCCGACACUGACGCUGAGGCGCGAAAGCCAGGGGAGCGAACGGG